rnacentral:rRNA from 1 species
CCUGAGAAACCCAAAAGACGAAUGAGGAGAUUCAUCGUCAGCGUGAUUGGCGCUUGUGCGGUUCGCGAUGCCGGGGACUUCGGUCUCAUGGCACGCGUCCGCAUGGUUUUUUUGCCUUUCAUCGUCGGCGUGCACUUCUCCUCUAGUAGGACGUCGCGACCCGUUGGGUGUCGGUCUACGGCCCGGGUGGUAGCCUGUCAUGCGCCACGGUUAAUCCCGUCGUGUGGCAGACCCCCGGUUGCCUGACCAGCUGCCCGGCGGUACUCGCACGGUAUCGAGCCGCAAAUUUUUUUUUGCGUCCGGCCCGUCGCAAGCUUGGCAAGUGUAUACCCGGAUGUACGGACCUAGCGCCGUCACCGGGCCUCGCCAGCUGUUGGUUGAGAGUGUCUGGGUCUGGCUCU